rnacentral:rRNA from 15 species
AGUCGGCCCCUAAGGCGAGGCAGAAAUGCGUAGUCGAUGGGAAACGGGUUAAUAUUCCCGUACUUAUAUAAUCAGUGAUGGAGGGACGGAGAAGGCUAGGCAAGCUUGGCGUUGGUUGUCCAAGUGAAAGCGAGUAGGCCGAAAACUUAGGUAAAUCCGGGUUUUUAAAGCUGAGACGCGAGACGAGCCACUACGGUGGUGAAGUUGUUGAUGCCCUGCUUCCAGGAAAAGCUUCUAAACUUAUGAUUAUAUGAACCGUACCCCAAACCGACACAGGUGGUCAGGUAGAGAAUACUAAGGCGCUUGAGAGAACUCGGGUGAAGGAACUCGGCAAAAUUGUACCGUAACUUCGGGAGAAGGUACGCCCUUGUUUGUGAUAGGACUUGCUCCUUGAGCAGAUGAGGGCCGCAGUGACCAGGUGGCUGGGACUGUUUAUUAAAAACACAGCACUCUGCUAACUCGCAAGAGGACGUAUAGGGUGUGACACCUGCCCGGUGCCGGAAGGUUAAUUGAUGGGGUUAGCGUAAGCGAAGCUCUUGAUCGAAGCCCCGGUAAACGGCGGCCGUAACAAUAACGGUCCUAAGGUAGCGAAAUUCCUUGUCGGGUAAGUUCCGACCUGCACGAAUGGCGUAACGACUUCCCCGCUGUCUCCAACAUCGACUCAGCGAAAUUGAAUUGCCUGUCAAGAUGCAGGCUUCCCGCGGUUAGACGGAAAGACCCCGUGCACCUUUACUACAGCUUCGCACUGGCAUCAGGAUUGUGAUGUGCAGGAUAGGUGGUAGGCUUUGAAGCGGUGACGCCAGUCAUCGUGGAGCCUCCCUUGAGAUACCACCCUUCGCACUCUUGAUGUCUAACCGCGGUCCGUUAUCCGGAUCCGGGACCCUGCGUGGCGGGUAGUUUGACUGGGGCGGUCGCCUCCUAAAGCGUAACGGAGGCGCGCGAAGGUUGGCUCAGAGCGGUCGGAAAUCGCUCGUUGAGUGCAAUGGCAGAAGCCAGCCUGACUGCGAGACUGACAAGUCGAGCAGAGACGAAAGUCGGCCAUAGUGAUCCGGUGGUCCCGAGUGGAAGGGCCAUCGCUCAACGGAUAAAAGGUACGCCG